AUUGAACGCUGGCGGCAUGCCUUACACAUGCAAGUCGAACGGCAGCACGGGAGCAAUCCUGGUGGCGAGUGGCGAACGGGUGAGUAAUAUAUCGGAACGUGCCCAGUCGUGGGGGAUAACGUAGCGAAAGCUACGCUAAUACCGCAUACGAUCUAUGGAUGAAAGCGGGGGAUCGCAAGACCUCGCGCGAUUGGAGCGGCCGAUAUCAGAUUAGGUAGUUGGUGAGGUAAAGGCUCACCAAGCCGACGAUCUGUAGCUGGUCUGAGAGGACGACCAGCCACACUGGGACUGAGACACGGCCCAGACUCCUACGGGAGGCAGCAGUGGGGAAUUUUGGACAAUGGGCGCGAAGCCUGAUCCAGCAAUGCCGCGUGCAGGAU
rnacentral:rRNA from 1 species